rnacentral:rRNA from 1 species
GACGAACGCUGGCGGCGUGCCGUAACACAUGCAAGUCGAACGGAGCAGAUCCCUUCGGGGGUUUGCUCAGUGGCGAACGGGUGAGUAACGCGUGAGGAACCUGCCUUUCAGUGGGGGACAACAGUUGGAAACGACUGCUAAUACCGCAUAAUGCUUUUGAGCGGCAUCGCUUGAAAGCCAAAGAUUUAUUGCUGAAAGAUGACCUCGCGUCUGAUUAGCUGGUUGGUGAGGUAAUGGCUCACCAAGGCGACGAUCAGUAGCCGGACUGAGAGGUUGAACGGCCACAUUGGGACUGAGAUACGGCCCAG